rnacentral:rRNA from 1 species
AGUGAACGCUGGCGGUAGGCCUAACACAUGCAAGUCGAACGGCAGCACAGUAAGAGCUUGCUCUUACGGGUGGCGAGUGGCGGACGGGUGAGGAAUACAUCGGAAUCUACUUUUUCGUGGGGGAUAACGUAGGGAAACUUACGCUAAUACCGCAUACGACCUACGGGUGAAAGCAGGGGAUCUUCGGACCUUGCGCGAUUGAAUGAGCCGAUGUCGGAUUAGCUAGUUGGCGGGGUAAAGGCCCACCAAGGCGACGAUCCGUAGCUGGUCUGAGAGGAUGAUCAGCCACACUGGAACUGAGACACGGUCCAGACGCCUACGGGAGGCAGCAGUGGGGAAUAUUGGACAAUGGGCGCAAGCAUGAUCCAGCCAUACCGCGUGGGUGAAGAAGGCCUUCGGGUUGUAAAGACCUUUUGUUGGGAAAGAAAAGCAGCAGGUUAAUACCCAGCUGUUCUGACGGUACCCAAAGAAUAAGCACCGGCUAACUUCGUG